CCUACGGGGGGCAGCAGUGAGGAAUAUUGGUCAAUGGACGAGAGUCUGAACCAGCCAAGUCGCGUGAGGGAAGAAUGUCCUAUGGAUUGUAAACCUCUUUUGUCAGGGAGUAAAAUCAUCCACGUGUGGGUGUUUGUGUGUACCUUAUGAAUAAGCAUCGGCUAACUCCGUGCCAGCAGCCGCGGUAAUACGGAGGAUGCGAGCGUUAUCCGGAUUUAUUGGGUUUAAAGGGUGCGUAGGCGGGUUAUCAAGUCAGCGGUAAAAUCGUGGAGCUCAACUCCAUCCAGCCGUUGAAACUGAUGAUCUUGAGUGGGCGAGAGGUAUGCGGAAUGCGUGGUGUAGCGGUGAAAUGCAUAGAUAUCACGAAGAACUCCGAUUGCGAAGGCAGCAUACCGGCGCCCGACUGACGCUGAAGCACGAAAGCGUGGGUAUCGAACAGGAUUAGAUACCCUUGUAGUC
rnacentral:rRNA from 1 species